GUGCUUGUUUCAGCAGCAUAUAUACUAAAAUUGGAAUGAUACAGAGAAGAUUAGCAUGGCCCCUGCACAAGGAUGACACGCAAUUUGUGAAGUGUUCCAUAUUUCA
rnacentral:snRNA from 1 species